AUAUAAAGGACAAUAUUGUUUAAUUGAUGUAAAGAGAGUUUGAACUUGAAAAGAUAUAAGUUGAUAAAACCAUUUCUUAAAUAUAAAGGAAGAAAUAUGGUUGGAAUUGUCAAAUUUAUUUAUAUUUUGAUUAUCUUUAUCUCUUUAUUGUUGAUGCUAACCAACUGUGGAAGUAAUCUAUUUUUUAAUAUUUAAAAAAAUUCUUUGUUACUUUGUACACAGUGUUUUAUUAAAUAUUAUCUAAACUUUUAUUCUUAUUUUUCAAUAUAGGAAUUGCUAAAUGUCUAAAAGAUACGGAUUGUUUACAAUAUCAUGGAUGUCAGCCACCAAUGAUAGUGAAGUGUGACAAUAAACAAUGUAGAUGUGUUAGUGUGAUCUAUCUUACUCGUAAUGUUUCCAAAUGAUUCUUCAUAUUAUGUUCUCCAAUAAUAUUUUAUUAACUAUGAUAUAGUUAUUGUAUUGCUAUCUCAUAAUUUGGUUUAUUUAUUUAUUUUUCAUUUUAAGAACUUUAUAGUUAAUUUUAUAUAAAUCAAGUUUUCUCUCUUAAUUUCAAAAUAUCUUCAUAGUUUUCAUUUCAAACAUGUAUCAUGUUCGUUUCAAUCUUAUUAGAAUAUGUGUAAUAGUUAAGUUGAGAAACUGUUUAUAUUGCUUAUAAGCCUACGUUUUUUACAUGUUCAUGUUAUAGUAUCAAUACACUUCUGAUCUUUCCCACCUUCAAUUUAUAUUUCCCUUAUAUUUUAAUUUUUAUAUUGGUUUAUGUUUUUACUAACUAAAUAUAAUGUGUGAUUGAUAUAUUUUCUAUUUCAAAAGAAAUCUUGCAUAACUUCUUUUAUAUUUUAAUUUUUAUAUUGGUCUAUGUUUUUACUAAUUAUAUAUAAUGUNUUAAUUUUUAUAUUGGUUUAUGUUUUUACUAACUAAAUAUAAUGUGUGAUUGAUAUAUUUUCUAUUUCAAAAGAAAUCUUGCAUAACUUCUUUUAUAUUUUAAUUUUUAUAUUGGUCUAUGUUUUUACUAAUUAUAUAUAAUGUGUGAUUGAUAUAUUUUCUAUGUCAUAAGAAAUCUUGCAUAACUAAGUUACAUAAGAUUACGUAAGUUAUAAUUUAUUAUAAGAUUUACAUGUAAUUUAAAAGACUUUUUUUUAUAACUUUAACUUUCUAUGAUUUUGUUAGUUUUUUUUAGAGGGUCUAUAAAUUUGUAUUAUUGUUAUUAUUAUUUUUAUGUAAUAAAUUUUAUAUUUAAAUUGGGGUGUGAGUUUUCUUGUGAGUAUGGGUGGUUGAGAAUUUCGUUAAAUCUAAGUUUGUUGAAUUUAGACUAUAAAAAAGUGUGAGAUAGAUGAAAAUGUAAGAUAGAUCACACUAUAUCAUUUGAUAUAUAUGUAUUAAUUAUUUUAAUAUAUAAACCAGAUGUAGACCCAAGUCAUAAAGUAUAUAAAAUUUAAGUAAUGUUAAAAAAAAUAGUUAUAAUAUCACCUAUAUAGUAUACUGUUUUUAUUAGGGAGUCAAGUAUAAAAUAUAUUAUAUAAUUUUAUGAUUGUUUUUAAUAAAAGCUAUCGUAUCACAUCACGUAUAUAGUACACUUUUUUUAGGGGGUAAAGUAUACAUUUUUUUAAAAAAAAUUAACAUAAAAUGUUUAAUACUAAAAUAUUAGAAAUAAUUUAAGACUUUGUGCAAAACUAAUUCAUCACUAUAAUUUAAACGAAUAUACUAUUUUAAAAUAAUGGUUGGGUUGUUAGAUUAUUUUAUUCAAAAUUGAUAUUAAAUUUAUCUCCUUCAAAAUAUUUAUCAGAAAUGUCAUUAAGACGCAAUUUAUUUUUUAUAAUAAUAUUCUUUGUUGUAAGUAGUAUGAUAAAAUAUAUUAUACCAUUUAACUUUUUUAAAUAAAAAUUAACUAAAAUUAGUUUAGAGACAUUAUAUGGAAAAAAUAUAUCAACAUUUUUUUUCUCUCUUUUUAUAAUUUAGAAUUUAUUUCAAAAUAAAUAAACAUAGAGUAUGUGGCAGAUGUGUC
rnacentral:lncRNA from 1 species